UUAAAAAAAUUGGUUUUCCUGAUUUCUUUUCUACACUAAACCCCAUGGGAAUUCCUUCAUUUUUGGUCUUUGAUUGUCAAAAGUGCCAUAGCUUGGUUCUUGUAUUAUUUUGGCUUGAAGCACAAACAAAAAUCAGCAUCAAGAAGCACCAUUCCCAUUCUUGUUCCAUCAUCUGAUUUUUCGAAGUUCCAAGCACCAAAACUUUUCUUGAACACCUUCGAACCAGCAGCUAGGUACACUCCAUUUUCCUCUGAUUUCGAAAAUAACAAACAAAAACCAAUAAGUAUAUUCUUCCUCUUUCUUUGAUUUUCAAUACAUUAUUAAACAUUCAUCCUAUUUUAUUUUUCCUUCUAAAAUUGGGGAUUAAAUGCAUGUCUUCAUCCAUUUUCUGGAAAUUCAUGAAACCCAGAAACCAUUAUUUUCCUCCUCAAGUUUCGAAUUUUGGAUACAGUCCCAUUAUGUUUUUUUUUUGUGCCGAAAAUUCAAACACAACAGCAGUUGAUUCUUGUAAAGACAACAAAAAGCAACAUCCGUUCAUCGGUGACCAACCUUGAUUCUUCCCUAUUCUUGUGAGUUUUGAAAGAAGCCAAAAACAAAACCUUCUUUCCACGUCUGAUUUUUGAGCGAGAUUACUUUCUUUGGGUUCCCAUUGCCGCCAUUUUAUUGAGGAAAUGAUUUCUCUGCGCGCUCUUUCUAGUAGAUAGCUGCGAAUCGAUCGCGGCUCUUUGAAGCGUCUUGUUGUUUGAUUACAGAUCGGAACUGGUCGGGAACGAUGAGUUAGCGUUGAUUGAAUAGCGUUUAAAGGAUGUGUAUUUAGCUGAGCACGUGGGAAUUUGUAGAUUUGUAUUAGGUUUUUGGAUAAAUAUAUAUUAGUCUUAGUUGUGUUGGUUAUAUUGGAAUCUGAGUAAAUUGUAUGAUUACUUGUGUUUUAGUUAGAUGUUUGUUUGAGAAUUAGCUGAGUUAGUUACGUUGAAAAGUUGGUGUCCUCUUUGCUUAAGUUUUGAAAGUGUGAUUUCAGUUUCUUGGGAAACGAACCCAGUGAUGACCUUGUUUACUCAGUUAACGGUAAGUCGGGUUGUUACGUAUAAACACUUCAAUUUCACUCUUCCCUUCAUUCCACUCCCACAUUUUUUACAUUGCCCCAUCAUCAACUAACUCUAACUUACGAUUUAUUCUAGGUUUACUCACAAACAGGGUAAAGUAUUUAGGGAGAUAUACUUCUAUUUCACUAAAUCCUCAAACAUAUACUCAAUCAACUCCAUCAAAUUGGUCUUAUCGGUGCCAUCCACCCUCACAUCAAAAGUACCCCUUAAAGCACGAACUAACAACCACAUUGUACUCAUCCUAACAACAACAUUUACCAACAAUACAUUACAUUACAUUCACAUUCGAAUUUCAUAGCAAACAAACUGACACAGAUAAUCACUUUCCACCAAACCCUAACCCUAACUCAAUUUUGCAAAAAAAUACAAAAUUAGAACUCGAAAUGCAAAUGGAUAAGGAUAGUAAUACCUUGCGUAUGCUUAAUCCACCGAAUUAGCGAACUUUGUGCGAAAUUCA